ACUGCUCAGUAACACGUGGACAACCUGACCAAAAGUCUGGGAUAACCCCGGGAAACUGGGGAUAAUACCGGAUAGAUCACCUAUGCUGGAAUGCUUGGUGGUUGAAACUUCAGGGGCUUUUGGGUGGGUCUGCGGCUGAUUAGGUUGUUGCCGGUGUAACGUACCGUCAAGCCAGUUAUCAGUACGGGUUGUGGGAGCAAGAGCCCGGAGAUGGAUUCUGAGACACGAAUCCAGGCCCUACGGGGCGCAGCAGGCGCGAAAACUCUACAAUGCAGGCAACUGCGAUAGGGGAACAUCGAGUGAUACUCAUCUUGGGUGUCUGUCCUUCCGUCUAAAAAACGGGAGUUAGCAAGGGCCGGGCAAGACCGGUGCCAGCCGCCGCGGUAAUACCGGCGGCUCGAGUGGUGGCCGAUAUUAUUGAGUCUAAAGGGUCCGUAGCCGGCUUGGCAAGUCUCUUGGGAAAUCCGGCGGCUUAACCGUCGGUCGUCCGGGAGAUACUACUUUGCUUGGGACUGGGAGAGGCGUGAGGUACUCAGGGGGUAGGAGUGAAAUCCUGUAAUCCUUUGGGGACCACCGGUGGCGAAGGCGUCACGCCAGAACAGGUCCGACGGUGAGGGACGAAAGCUAGGGGCACGAACCGGAUUAGAUACCCGGGUAGUCCUAGCCGUAAACGAUGCUCGCUAGGUGUCACGACAAUCGUGAAUUGUCGUGGUGCCGUAGGGAAGCCGUGAAGCGAGCCACUUGGGAAGUACGACCGCAAGGUUGAAACUUAAAGGAAUUGGCGGGGGAGCACA
rnacentral:rRNA from 1 species